UACGUAGGGUGCAAGCGUUGUCCGGAAUUAUUGGGCGUAAAGAGCUCGUAGGCGGUUUGUCGCGUCUGCUGUGAAAUCCGGAGGCUCAACCUCCGGCCUGCAGUGGGUACGGGCAGACUAGAGUGCGGUAGGGGAGAUUGGAAUUCCUGGUGUAGCGGUGGAAUGCGCAGAUAUCAGGAGGAACACCGGUGGCGAAGGCGGGUCUCUGGGCCGUAACUGACGCUGAGGAGCGAAAGCAUGGGGAGCGAACAGG
rnacentral:rRNA from 1 species